UACGUAGGUGGCAAGCGUUGUCCGGAUUUACUGGGUGUAAAGGGUGCGUAGGCGGAUUAACAAGUCAGAUGUGAAAUACCGAGGCUUAACUUCGGGGCUGCAUUUGAAACUGUUUUUCUUGAGUGAUGGAGAGGUAAGUGGAAUUCCCAGUGUAGCGGUGAAAUGCGUAGAUAUUGGGAGGAACACCAGUGGCGAAGGCGACUUACUGGACAUUAACUGACGCUGAGGCACGAAAGCGUGGGUAGCAAAC
rnacentral:rRNA from 1 species